ACAUACGGCCAUACCCACUGGAGAACUCGGGAUCCCGUCCGCUCUCCCAUAGAUAAGCCAGUGAGGGCCGGAUUAGUAGUUGGGUCGGUGACGACCAGCGAAUACCUGGUGUUGUAUGUU
rfam:Colletotrichum incanum strain MAFF 238704 contig1901, whole genome shotgun sequence.